AGUAGAAUGACUGAGAUAAAAGUUAAGUUAUAGACUGUAAAUCUAUUUAGGGGUAAUCCCCUUCUACUA
rnacentral:tRNA from 1 species